UACGUAGGGUGCAAGCGUUGUCCGGAAUUAUUGGGCGUAAAGAGCGUGUAGGCGGCCAUGCAGGUCAGCUGUGAAAACUCGAGGCUCAACCUCGAGACGUCGGUUGAAACCGUGUGGCUAGAGUCCGGAAGAGGAGAGUGGAAUUCCCGGUGUAGCGGUGAAAUGCGCAGAUAUCGGGAAGAACACCUAUGGCGAAGGCAGCUCUCUGGGACGGUACUGACGCUGAGACGCGAAAGCGUGGGGAGCGAACAGG
rnacentral:rRNA from 1 species